CUGGCGGCAGGCCUAACACAUGCAAGUCGAGCGGUAGAGAGAAGCUUGCUUCUCUUGAGAGCGGCGGACGGGUGAGUAAUGCCUAGGAAUCUGCCUGGUAGUGGGGGAUAACGUCCGGAAACGGACGCUAAUACCGCAUACGUCCUACGGGAGAAAGCAGGGGACCUUCGGGCCUUGCGCUAUCAGAUGAGCCUAGGUCGGAUUAGCUAGUUGGUGGGGUAAUGGCUCACCAAGGCGACGAUCCGUAACUGGUCUGAGAGGAUGAUCAGUCACACUGGAACUGAGACACGGUCCAGACUCCUACGGGAGGCAGCAGUGGGGAAUAUUGGACAAUGGGCGAAAGCCUGAUCCAGCCAUGCCGCGUGUGUGAAGAAGGUCUUCGGAUUGUAAAGCACUUUAAGUUGGGGGGAAGGGCAGU
rnacentral:rRNA from 1 species